GACGAACGCUGGCGGCGUGCUUAACACAUGCAAGUCGAGCGGUAAGGCCCUUUCGGGGGUACACGAGCGGCGAACGGGUGAGUAACACGUGGGUGACCUGCCCUCAGCUCUGGGAUAAGCCCGGGAAACUGGGUCUAAUACUGGAUAUGACUCCAUGACGCAUGUUGUGGGGUGAAAGCCUUGUGCGGCUGAGGAUGGGCCCGCGGCCUAUCAGCUUGUUGGUGGGGGAUGGCCUACCAAGGCGACGACGGGUAGCCGGCCUGAGAGGGCGACCGGCCACACUGGGACUGAGACACGGCCCAGACUCCUACGGGAGGCAGCAGUGGGGAAUCUUGCGCAAUGGGCGAAAGCCUGACGCAGCGACGCCGCGUGAGGGAUGACGGCCUGGUGUAAC
rnacentral:rRNA from 1 species